CCUACGGGAGGCAGCAGUGGGGAAUAUUGCACAAUGUCGGAAACCCUGAUGCAGCGACGCCGCGUGAAGGAAGAAGGUUUUAGGAUCGUAAACUUCUAUCAGCAGGGAAGAAGAAAGUGACAGUACCUGACUAAGAAGCCCCGGCUAACUACGUGCCAGCAGCCGCGGUAAUACGUAGGGGGCAAGCGUUAUCAGGAAUCACUGGGUGUAAAGGGUGCGUAGGCGGUAGGGCAAGUCAGAUGUGGAAGCCCGGGGCUCAACCCCGGGAUUGCAUUUGAAACUGUCGUACUAGAGUGCAGGGGAGGAAAGCGGAAUUCCUAGUGUGGCAGUGAAAUGCGUAGAUAUUAGUAAGAUAGCCAGGGGCGAAGGCGGCUUUUUGGACUGUAACUGACGCUGAGGCUCGAAAGCGUGGGGAGCGAACGGUAUUAGAUACCCCGGUAGUC
rnacentral:rRNA from 1 species